GCCUGCACUACCACACCCAGCCACUCCUGCCCUUUUUAAGGUACAGUUUCCAUAGAAGGCAAUGCAUGGCUGAUCCUGGUCCCAAGCAUCUGCCAGUCACCACUCUGAGCUGGUCAUUGCCUGUGUUAGCUACUCUAUAAAUGGUAAAAACAACGUGUAAAAUCUCCAUAGAAGAACUCUUCAGUGUGAAUAUAUUUCAGCCAUUAUUGCCAGAAUUCCUAUCUUCAUCCCAG